rnacentral:rRNA from 1 species
AUUGAACGCUGGCGGCAUGCUUUACACAUGCAAGUCGAACGGCAGCGCGGGCUUCGGCCUGGCGGCGAGUGGCGAACGGGUGAGUAAUACAUCGGAACGUGCCCAGUAGUGGGGGAUAGCUCGGCGAAAGCCGGAUUAAUACCGCAUACGACCUGAGGGUGAAAGCGGGGGAUCUUCGGACCUCGCGCUAUUGGAGCGGCCGAUGGCAGAUUAGCUAGUUGGUGGGGUAAAGGCCUACCAAGGCGACGAUCUGUAGCUGGUCUGAGAGGACGACCAGCCACACUGGGACUGAGACACGGCCCAGACUCCUACGGGAGGCAGCAGUGGGGAAUUUUGGACAAUGGGCGAAAGCCUGAUCCAGCAAUGCCGCGUGUGUGAUGAAGGCCUUCGGGUUGUAAACCACUUUUGGCGGGAACGAAAAGGACUGUGCCAAUACCACGGUUCGAUGACGGUACCCGCAGAAUAAGCACCGGCUAACUACGUG